rnacentral:tRNA from 1 species
GACGGUAGCUCAGUCGGUAGAGCAUCGGCCUUUUAAGCCGCGGGUCGCGGGUUCGAGCCCCGCCCGUC